rnacentral:rRNA from 1 species
AGUUCGAUUAUGGCUCAGAUUGAACGCUGGCGGGAAGUGCUUUACACAUGCAAGUCGAACGGCAGCACGGACUUCGGUCUGGUGGCGAGUGGCGAACGGGUGAGUAAUGUAUCGGAACGUGCUCUAGUAGCGGGGGAUAACUACGCGAAAGCAGGGGCCAAUACCGCAUACCGCCCUUCGGGGGAAAGCGGGGGACCUUCGGGCCCUUCGCACUAUUAGAGAGCGGCUGAUAUCGGAUUAGCUAGUUGGUGGGGUAACGGCUCACCAUGACGAUCCGUAGCUGGUUUGAGAGGAUGAUCAGCCAUACUGGGACCGAGAGCACGCCCAGACUCUACGGAGGCAGCAGUGGGGAAUUUUGGACAAUGGGGGAAACUCCUGAUCCAGCCGGUCUCAAGGUGUGCGAUGAAGGCCUUCGGCCAGGAAAAGCACUUUUGGCAGGAAGAAACGGCACGGGAUAAUACCCCGUGCAGCAACUGACGGUACCUGCAGAAUAAGCACUGGCUAACUACAAAACAGCAGCCGCGGUAAUACGUAGGGUGCAAGCGUUAAUCGGAAUUACUGGGCGAAGCGUGCGCAGGCGGUUCGGAAAGAAAGAUGUGAAAUCCCAGAGCUGAACUUUGGAACUGCAUUUUUAACUACCGAGCUAGAGUGUGUCAGAGGGAGGUGGAAUUCCGCGUGUAGCAGUGAAAUGCGUAGAUAUGCGGAGGAACACCGAUGGCGAAGGCAGCUCUCCUGGGAUAACACUGACGCUCAUGCACGAAAGCGUGGGGAGCAAACAGGAUUAGAUACCCUGUAGUCCACGCCCUAAACGAUGUCAACUAGCUGUUGGGGCCUUCGGGCCUGGUAGCGCAGCUGACUGCGAAGUUGACCGCCUGGGGAGUACGGUCGCAAGAUUAAAACUCAAAGGAAUUGAUGACCCGCACAAGCGGUGGAUGAUGUGGAUUAAUUCGAUGCAACGCGAAAAACCUUACCUACCCUUGACAUGUCUGGAACUGAAGAGAUUUGGGAGUGCUCGCAAGAGAACCGAACACAGGUGCUGCAUGGCUGUCGUCAGCUCGUGUCGUGAGAUGUUGGGUUAAGUCCCGCAACGAGCGCAACCCUUGUCAUUAGUUGCUACGGAAAGGGCACUCUAAUGAGACUGCCGGUGACAAACCGAGGAAGGUGGGGAUGCAGACAAGUCCUCAUGGCCCUUAUGGGUAGGGCUUCACACGUCAUACAAUGGUCGGGACAGAGGGUCGCCAACCCGCGAGGGGGAGCCAAUCCCAGAAACCCGAUCGUAGUCCGGAUCGCAGUCUGCAACUCGACUGCGUGAAGUCGGAAUCGCUAGUAAUCGCGGAUCAGCAUGUCGCGGUGAAUACGUUCCCGGGUCUUGUACACACCGCCCGUCACACCAUGGGAGUGGGUUUUACCAGAAGUAGUUAGCCUAACCGUAAGGGAGGGCGAUUACCACGGUAGGAUUCAUGACUGGUACAAGUCAACAAGGUAA